rnacentral:rRNA from 1 species
UUGACCUCGGAUCAGGUAGGGAUACCCGCUGAACUUAAGCAUAUCAAUAAGCGGCGAGAA